rnacentral:ncRNA from 1 species
UUUUGGUCCUAAACUUGCUGCUAUUUUUGAUCAAAAUUAUACAUGCAAGCAUCUGCACACCAGUGAGAAUGCCCUAACUUACACUUAAAAGGAGCAGGUAUCAGGCACGACCUGUCAGCCCAAAACACCUUGCUAUGCCACACCCACAUGGGUACUCAGCAGUAAUUAAUAUUAAGCAAUGAGUAAGAAGCCACAUAAGCUCGACUUAGUUAUGAUCAAUAAGGGCCGGUUAACCUCGUGCCAGCCACCGCGGUUAUACGAAGGGCCCAAAACAGCAGACAACGGCGUAAAUUGUGGCUAGAGACACCACCUUAAACAAGAAGAAAUAAACCACACCCUAACCGUAAAACAUAGGCUAAAUGAAACCCCCACUCUUCUUACACAAGGUUGCUUGAACCCACGAAAACUAAGAAACAAACUAGGAUUAGACACCCUACUAUGCUUAGAUGUAAACAAGACACUACACAACGAAAGUGUCCGCCAGAGAAUUACAAGCGAAAAGCUUAAAACUCAAAGGACUUGGCGGUGCUCCGUACUCAACUUAGAGGAGCCUGUCCUAUAAUCGAUACUCCACGAUAAACCUUACCAUCUUUUGCCAACCCAGCCUAUAUACCGCCGUCGAAAACUUACCCCAUGAGGGAAAAAAAGUAAGUAAGAUAGUCAAUCACUAACACGUCAGGUCAAGGUGUAGCUUACAAGAUGGCAGAGAUGGGCUACAUUUUCUAACAAGAACAUACGGCAAUGGGCCAUGAAACACUCCCACGAAGGCGGAUUUAACAGUAAAAUAAUUAAGAAAAAUUAUCUAAAACUCGCUCCGGAGCGCGCACACACCGCCCGUCACCCUCCUCAACAAA